GUGGCAAAGACAUGAAGCAAGAGUAAGAGCCAUGAAAGGAAUUUCGAGAUUAAAUAUAUUAAACCUAGAACUUGAUAUGUCAAGGACGGAACUUGGAAAUUUGAGACGAAUAUAUAUGGCAAAAGUGUUUUGUCAUGGAAGAACAUAUAGCAAUCAUGAAAGCGUCUUCGUAUAGAAUGAAUAUUCUCAUCUAAUCAAGUUGACAAGUGAUAAUUAAUCUGUGUCUUCUUUUUCGGGAUGGGACUGAAUUUGGUGAACUUGGAAGGUGCAAUAUGGGUCGUGAGGUUAUCUUGUUUUUAGAUACGUGACAGCUUAAGCACUGUUCUCUUAAAAAGACAGCCCUGGGAGUAAUAAAAUGAAAUCGAACGAUACAUGGCCCUGUAGUUUAGCAACUUCGUUCGAUGACUAUUGAUAUCAAUAAUAGAAUGGUCUCAAUAUUCGAGCUACGUAGUCUGGUCGUUAUAGUCUCGCCAUACAUGGAGGUGGCAGACAAGCAUGAUGUGUGCGAAUGAGAGAAGAAAAGUAUGGUGGAUAUAUAUAUAUAUUUAUAGAAAUUACAUCAACACAAGGAGUCGUAGACUCAUCGUAGAUGAUGACAUAGAAGACAGCUGUUGAGAGUAAAAAUAUAGAUUUGAAAUAACAAUUUCUCACAACGGCUAUCAUGUAACUCAUGCCGGUUUUGAAAUGAAGCCGGGAGGGAGGGAGGAGAGAGAAGAGUUAAUGCAUCACACAUUCCAAUUCCAUAUAUAAAAAAAAGCUGCUUUUUAAGCAAAAGAAAAUCCUGUGCCAGAAAGGAAAAUCGUAUCAAAGAGAAAAGAAAGGAAUCAUAACCCCAAGACAU
rnacentral:lncRNA from 1 species